AGAAUGGGAUGCAUUCCUUCAAUCUAUCCAACUUCAUGUAAGCAAAUGGGCUUCUCAUGCCCUUCCCAUGUGUGACUUCAGAGAAGCCAGUCUAACUCGGAAAUGCAACUAUCAUAAAGAUGGCACCCCAAAGUUUCAUGCUUUCCCCCAGGGCUUCUGGAUUUCUGACUUGGUUACGAAGAAUUCUCCUUCCCAAGAUUGUGUAAGUAGCGUCUCAGUUUUUUGUUUUUUUUUUUU
rnacentral:lncRNA from 1 species